UUUUUUAUAAAAGUAAUUUAUUUAUUUAAAGUUUUAGUAUUAAGUAAAAAUUAAUUUAUAGAUUUAUAGUUUAAUAGUAUUGUAAAAGAAUUAAUUAAAUUUAAAAAAGAAUAUUUUUAGUACCUUUUGUAUCAGGGUUAAUUAAAAUUUUUAAUUUUUUUUUGAUUUCUCAAAAUUUAUAGAGUUAAUUUUAUUAUUAAUUUAUUGUUUUAUAAAUAUUUAUAAAAUAAUAUUAGUUUUGAAAUUUAAUUCGUUAUAUUAUAUUUAGUUAUUUAAGAUUUAAAUUUAAUUUAAAAUUUUAAAAGUUAUUUUGAUUUUAUAUAUUAAUAUUUUAGAUUUAAAUUAUUUUAGGGAUAAGCUUAAAAUUUUUAUAUAAUAAUUUAUUUAUUUUAAUAAUUAAUAGGAAUAGAAAUUUUUAUUUUAAGUUUGUAAAAAUUUAUUAUUUAUUUGAUUUUAAUUUAUUAUAAAUUUAUUUAUUUUUUUUAUUAAAUUUUAUUAAUUAAUAUUUAAUUUUUAGUAAUAAUGAUUAAAUUAGUAUAAUUUAUAUUUAUAAAUUAUGAAUUCGGCAAAAUUUAUUUUCAUCUGUUUAACAAAAACAUUGUAUUAAGUUUAAUUUAAUAUAGGAUCUGCUCAAUGAUUUAUUAAAUAGCUGCAGUAUUUUGACUGUGCAAAGGUAGCAUAAUAAUUAGUCUUUUAAUUGAGGACUUGUAUGAAAGAUUUGAUGAGAAAUAGACUUUAUUAUUUAUAUAAUUAAAAUUUUAUUUUUAAGUAAAAAAGCUUAAAUUAUUUAAAGGGACGAUAAGACCCUAUAAAACUUUAUAAAUAUAGAUUUUAAUUUUUUUUGGUUUAUAAAUAUUUUAAUUUUAUUAUUUAUUUUAUUGGGGUGAUAAAAAAAAUUAUUAAACCUUUUUUUAAAUUUAACAUUACUUAAUGGAUAUUUGAAUUAAAAUUUUUAAUUAUAGGAAAAAGUUACUUUAGGGAUAACAGCGUAAUUAAUUUUUUAAGUUCAAAUUUGAAAAUUAGUUUGCGACCUCGAUGUUGAAUUAAGAUUAAUCUUAGGUGCAAAAUUUUAAGUGUUAGGUCUG
rnacentral:rRNA from 1 species